rnacentral:lncRNA from 1 species
CUUGUAACUUCUGUGUGGUCACUUCAGACCUGCAGAGCAGGCAGGUGAGGUGAAAGAGGCUGUUUGAGAGUCCGAGCCUGUUGUAGAGAGAUCAGUCCAGUGGUCCAGGUUCAGUGAGGAAAUGAUCUGGUAGUAGUUCUUCUGGAAGCAUUCUUCUUUGGAAAUUCUACAGACAGUGAAAAGAGUGUGAUUCACCAGCUCUAUUUGGUUCAUUGUGAUUUACAGUGGAGGAAGUUAUGUAAUUAGCCAUAUCCAGAAGGGGUAGAAGCCUCCAAUAUCCCAGGGCUUCCCAAUGACCUUGCGUGUGUGGUGGAUGUUCUCACAGGCAUUGGGGUUGGUCUCCCUCUGUCUGCUCUACUCUCCUCUGUUGUGAGAGCUGAUUCGUGUAUUUCAAGAUUAUAAGAACAGCUCAGACAUGCUUAACUUACUAAGAAACUGGUAUUGGACUUUUCACACUUUCUCUGAGUUCAGAGCUGG